rnacentral:rRNA from 1 species
AUUGAACGCUGGCGGCAGGCCUAACACAUGCAAGUCGAACGAGUGGCGGACGGGUGAGCAAUGUCGUGGAAACUGCAUGAUGGAGGGGGAUAACUACUGGAAAAGGUAGCUAAUACUGCUAAACACCAGAUGUGCCCAGAUGGGAUGAGCUAGUUGGUGGGGUAACGGCUCACAAAGGCGACGAUCCCUAGCUGGGCUGAGAGGAUGACCAGCCACACUGGAACUGAUACACGGCCCAGACUCCUACGGGAGGCAGCAGUAGGGAAUCUUGCACAAUGGACGCAAGCCUGAUCCAGCCACGCCGCUUGUGUGAAGAAGGCCUUCGGGUUGUAAAGUACUUUUGGCGGAGAGGCGGUACCCGCACAUGAAGCCACGGCUAACUCCGUGCCAGCCGCCGCGGUAAUAC